AGAAUGAACGCUGGCGGCGUGCUUUACACAUGCAAGUCGAGCGAGGCUGGGUAGCAAUACCCAAGUCGAGCGGCGAACGGGUGAGUAACACGUGGAUAACCUGCCCUAAGGUGUGGAACAACCAGGGGAAACUCUGGCUAAUACCGCAUGAUACCGAGAGGUCAAAGGGGCCCUGCAAGGGGUCUCGCCAUAGGAGGGUCCGCGUCCGAUUAGCUAGUUGGUAGGUAAUGGCCUACCAAGGCGACGAUCGGUAGCCGGCCUGAGAGGGUGAUCGGCCACACUGGAACUGGAGACACGGUCCAGACUCCUACGGGAGGCAGCAGUGGGAAGUUUGCGCUAAUGGGCUACGCCUGACGCAGCGAACGCCGCGUGGAGGAGUAGUAA
rnacentral:rRNA from 1 species